GAUGAACGCUGGCGGCGUGCCUAAUACAUGCAAGUCGAGCGAACAGACGAGGAGCUUGCUCCUCUGACGUUAGCGGCGGACGGGUGAGUAACACGUGGAUAACCUACCUAUAAGACUGGGAUAACUUCGGGAGACCGGAGCUAAUACCGGAUAAUAUAUUGAACCGCAUGGUUCCAUCGUGAAAGAAGGUUUUGCUGUCACUUAUGGCUGGCUCCGCGCCGCAUUAGCUAGUUGGUAAGGUGAAGGCUUACCAAGGCAACGAUGCGUAGCCGACCUGAGAGCGUGAUCGCCUACACUGUCACUGAGACACGUCCCAGACUCCGACGGGAGGCCACAGUAGGGAAUCUUACGCAAUGGGCGAAAGCCUGAUGGAGCAACGCCGCGUGAGUGAUGAAGGUCUUCGGAUCGUAAAGCUCUGUUAGUAGGGAAGAACAAAAGUGUAAGUAACCAUGCACGUCUUGACGGUACCGAGACAAAAAGCCACGGCUAACUACGUG
rnacentral:rRNA from 1 species